AUUGAACGCUGGCGGCAGGCCUAACACAUGCAAGUCGAACGGUAGCACAGAGAGCUUGCUCUCGGGUGACGAGUGGCGGACGGGUGAGUAACGUCUGGGAAACUGCCCGAUGGAGGGGGAUAACUACCGGAAACGGUAGCUAAUACCGCAUAACGUCGCAAGACCAAAGUGGGGGACCUUCGGGCCUCACACCAUCGGAUGUGCCCAGAUGGGAUUAGCUAGUAGGUGGGGUAAUGGCUCACCUAGGCGACGAUCCCUAGCUGGUCUGAGAGGAUGACCAGCCACACUGGAACUGAGACACGGUCCAGACUCCUACGGGAGGCAGCAGUGGGGAAUAUUGCACAAUGGGCGCAAGCCUGAUGCAGCCACGCCGCGUGUAUGAAGAAGGCCUUCGGGUUGUAAAGUACUUUCAGCGGAGAGGAAGGCGGUGGAGUUAAUAACUUCACCGAUUGACGUUACCCGCAGAAGAAGCACCGGCUAACUCCGUGCCAGCCGCCGCAGUAA
rnacentral:rRNA from 1 species